GUGCGUAACGCGUAUACAAUCUGCCUUUCACUGGGGGAUAGCCCGAAGAAAUUUGGAUUAAUACCCCAUAGUAUAGUAGUGUGGCAUCACACAACUAUUAAAGCYUWGGUGGUGAAAGAUGAGUAUGCGUUCUAUUAGCUAGUUGGAGAGGUAACGGCUCCCCAAGGCKAYGAUAGAUAGGGGUUCUGAGAGGGAUGUCCCCCACACUGGUACUGAGAUACGGACCAGACUCCUACGGGAGGCAGCAGUGAGGAAUAUUGGACAAUGGUCGGAAGACUGAUCCAGCCAUGCCGCGUGCAGGAUGACGGCCUUAUGGGUUGUAAACUGCU
rnacentral:rRNA from 1 species